AGUGGUUACUUGGAUGAUUGUACCUGUGAUGUUGAAACCAUUGAUAAAUUUAAUAACUACAGGCUUUUCCCAAGACUACAAAAACUUCUUGAAAGUGACUACUUUAGAUAUUACAAGGUAAACCUGAAGAGGCCCUGUCCUUUCUGGAAAGAUAUCAGCCAGUGUGGAAGAAGAGACUGUGCCGUCAAGCCUUGUCAAUCUGUAAGAACCGUGUAAAUAUUUAAAAACUGUUA